ACCUAGAACCUCACCAAACCCCAGGAGACCCCUCCCUCGGCAGCGCCUCGCCGAGCACCACCGCCAUGGCCGCCGCCUCCUCCCCCCUCGCCGCCGGCGACAGCGCGCACCGGCGGCAGUGGCGGUACACGUGGGAGACCCUGGCGCACCUCCCCCUCCUGCGUCUCUACCUCUCCCACCCGGCCCUCUCCGCCGCGGCGCCCUCCGGUCUCCGCGCCGACCUCCGCCUCGACGCCGACCUCCUCCUCCUCUCCUUCUUCCUUACGUCGGACCCCGUCUCCCUCAGGGUCCCCGUGCCGAGGGUGCUCGUGGACCCCUCCGUCCCGCCCGAGUGCCGUGCCGCGGGGGACCACCUCGAGGUCCGCCUCACCCUCGUCCUCCCCGUCGACCACCCCGUCGUCGCCGCCGCCUUCCCCGGCGCCGGCCCUCCCGCGCCCCUCUCCCUCCGCGAUGAUUUGAAGUCUCUAUCUUCUGGGGAUGUCCAUUUGUACUGCAAAACAUGCUCAGCAAGAUUGACAAAACAGCCACUAAGGGACGUUGUGGAAAUGCCAUCUUUAAAUUGGGAGGAUGUGGCUGACAAUUGGUUUGGUGGAUGUUGCACAUCAUUCGGAGGGGCAAGUGAGAAGUUAAUAUCACACUAUAUCAAUGCAUAUGGUCGCCUGCAGAGAACAACUCUACUAGAUGCUACCUCCAUUAUUAUAGAGAAGGAUUAUCUUGAGACAGAUAUAGUGUCGAGAGUAGAUAUUUCAGUGCCCAGUGUUGAUUUUGUUGCACUAGAAGAAGCUAUGUUUAAUGUUACUCUAGAAAGCGAUCAUACUGCUGAGAAGAUAAAAUUGAAUAAUUCAGAAGAGGAGGUAUGCCAUGAAAAGAAAAUUGGUUCUAAUCACUUGCGACCUCCAGUUCUUUUGGAAGAGGGUCCUUGUAUUGAUAAUACUGAAAAAAAUGGAGGCACUCCUUGGACUGAUCAGUGUGGUACUAUCCAGCUGAAUAAUGGUGGCGAUGUGAACUCUGAGAAGUCUACAAGUGACUGUUUUAUUGAAAACAUGGAGCAAACUUCUCAAGAGGCUGAUUCGAAUCUGGUAGAUCCAUGCAGUUGCUGCGGUGACAGUGGAGAUAGUGGAAAAGCUGGAUUGGAGAACCAAAGAGAUUACAAGUUAACAAAAAGUAUCUCCCUUGGAAGUAGCUUUAUCAUUAAAGAAUCAAACCUUGUGAAAGAUGUUAACUGGGUUGAGCUUCUAUGUUCUCAUUGCUCGUCAUCUCUUGGGUCAUACCCAUCGCAAUAUUCAGAUGCUCCAUCAGAUGGACGGGUACGGCUGUUCAAAUGUUACACAUCCUCAGACCUUCCUGUUGGGGGUCCUCAUGAUGUGUUCAGGGGACACACAUUGGAAAAACUAUUUGUUAAUUUGUUGCUUGAAAUAGCUGAAGAUGAAAUAUCUUUUCGUACAGUAGUGAGAGAUUUGAAAACCAAAAGGCCCAUGCUGCAAAUAGUCCUUCUUAGUUCAAAAGCAUGGAUGUUUUCUGGUUACUGCUGUGAAAAUGAAAUGGAUGGUUCACAUGUGACAGCACAUCUGCAGCCUACUGUUAAGCUCCUGUAUUCUAACUGCAGUAGUGCGUCAGAAACAGACUUAAGGACAGUAGAGGAGUGGUCAUCCAAAUAUCGGGCUGAACAGUUAUACAUGAUGGCCGGGCAGAUAAAUGAACUUACUGAAUGCCUUAGCUCAGCUAAGGAUGAGUUCCCUCUUUCUUGCUCGUCUCUUGAAGGAAUGUGUCUUUCGUCUCUGGAGCGUUGAUUCGAUUUUAAGAUGCUAAUACUUUACUCAUGAUGCCCCAAGCCGCUGACUGAUCAUUGUAUCAUGCAUCUCUGGUGGAGACCCUAAUCAUAUAUACCAAGCACUGUUCCUGCCUAUCUCAGUUUAGUAGUCGUUUGGCGAGCUGGUUAUCCCAUCUGUACACUGCGAGAUUUCUGGACUCCCUCCUGUUGGCACAAGGCUGAGUGACAGACGGAGUUCUUAUUCAACAUGCUUUUGCUGAUAGAGGUUUCAGCCUUCUCGUCAUCUACUCUAAGAAGUAUUUGGCACAUUGUUGUAGCUAUACAGCGUUAAUGGUCAACCCACUAACCUGCAUGUAUUCUGUAUUCUGGUCAAAGCAGGAGAAGCGGUAAGGAACUUGCCUUUGAGCAAUGUGGUGGCCCAGGCAUAGAGGGAUCCAAGGGAGAAAAGGAUAGCAGUAUAGCACUGGCCAGUGGCCAAAGUCCCAGUGGAGCCGUUGCACUAGUAUCUGAAUUUUAUAUUGGCUGGACAUGUUAUCCAUCCAUCUAUUUGCUCUGAUCAUCAAACUGUGGCUGCAUCCAUGCAGCAGCAUCUGAGACCAGGUAUUUAAUGGAAUAGAACAUUCUACCAUAUAUAGGUGAAGUGAAGCUAGCCUACGCUACGCUACACGAGGGCUGUUGUUGAUCUGAUCUUCAAGGUUAGUGUUGAGUAUAAAAGAAAGAAGUCGGUAAGCUUAUAUGAGCAUCCAUAUGUUUGUUGUGUUGACUUCUGCAUUCUUUUUGGUGGCUUUUUGAGCGUCUGGGAUCUGGUGUAUCAUUUUAGUUAGUUGGUAAAAACUCGAUACAAUCGAGGGAUGCAUGCAUCCUCCUGUAGU